rnacentral:rRNA from 1 species
AACUUUACACUGCGGGAAACCGCGAUAAGGGGACCCCGAGUGCCAGCACCUAGUGCUGGCUGUCCAGCUGUCUAAAUAACAGCUGUUAGCAAGGGCCGGGCAAGACCGGUGCCAGCCGCCGCGGUAACACCGGCGGCCCGAGUGGUAACCGUUUUUAUUGGGUUUAAAGGGUCCGUAGCCGGCUUAUUAAGUCUCUUGGGAAAUCUGGCGGCUCAAUCGUCAGGCGUCCAAGAGAUACUGGUAGGCUUGGGACCGGGAGAGGUGGGAGGUACUCCAGGGGUAGGGGUGAAAUCUCGUAAUCCUUGGGGGACCACCGAUGGCGAAGGCAUCCCACCAGAACGGGUCCGACGGUGAGGGACGAAAGCUGGGGGCACGAACCGGAUUAGAUACCCGGGUAGUCCCAGCUGUAAACGAUGCUCGCUAGGUGUCAGGUGCGGUGCGACCGCAUCUGGUGCCGCAGUGAAAACUUGAAGCGAGUCACCUGGGAAGUACGGUCGCAAGGCUGAAACUUAAAGGAAUUGGCGGGGGAGCAC